rnacentral:rRNA from 1 species
GGGAUGGACAUACCUCUGGUGUACCAGUUGUCGUGCCAACGGCAUAGCUGGGUAGCUAUGUAUGGACGGGAUAAGUGCUGAAAGCAUCUAAGCAUGAAGCCCCCCUCAAGAUGAGAUUUCCCAACUUCGGUUAUAAGAUCCCUCGAAGAUGACGAGGUUAAUAGGUUCGAGGUGGAAGCGUGGUGACACGUGGAGCUGACGAAUACUAAUCGAUCGAAGACUUAAUCAAUUUUUAAA